UGUGACCAACACGUGUAAUGAUGUGAAAUUAAUGCUAACAUGAUUCUUUUUAAUAUGGCCAUGUAUAUUAUUGUCAAGUAAGAUAUUGAAAAGAAAAAAUUGGGUAAAAUUAUUUUGACCCUAAAAGUAACCCUAGCAUCACAUAUCUCUACUAAUCAUCAAGAUCUAUCCAUAACCCAACCGUCACCAUGUCAAUCAGUCCUUCCUUUGGUGGCUGUCGAUCUAACAUCUUUGAUCCAUUCUUCCUCGAUAUCUAAGACUUAAGUAGACGAAUUCUCUUUCUUCUCCCUCACAGACACCGAUUGUUCCAACUUCUCUUUCUCCUUCUCGGUGGAAACCUCAUCUUUUUGUAAGUGCAUGAAUCGAUUGGAAGGAAAUGCCUACAGUCCAUAUUUUCAAAGCCGACAUUCUUUGUUCCUUUGUUAACAUGUUGAAAAGAAUAUCGGGAAAGAACCCGAGGAACCGAGUCGAGGCCAAGAGGCGACUCGCUUAAGGUUUGUGCACAACAUCACUAUGCUUUAAAAUGUGUUGAUAAAGUGAAUGAAAUAUGUAUUUUACAUUUGCUUGAAUUAUUGAGAAUUUAUUUGUGACAUUAGUUAUGAUGUUUUGACUUAAAUUGUUGGAAGUUAUUGUGUAUAUUUGAAAUGACAAUGUUUAACAAAUUGUUAAGAUAAGUUUUGAAACCACAGUAUCAUGACCAUAUAUUUGAACACCUCACUAGCAUGACUAGUGGGGGUAAUUAGUUUCAAAUUUUGAUUCCUUCUCUGGAGAAGUGUUGAGGUGUGCCAGUAGAAGAGGAUGUGAAUGGAUAUCCAUAUAUUUGAGCUAGCUAGCCUUGUGAUGUGAUUUCUCUUUAGCCUCUGGCUAUUGAGAUUCUAUUUGUUUCGAAUGGCAUGAUCUAACUGUGGGUUUUAUGAAAUGUGUUUUGAUACUUCGAAAUGAACGUGGUUUGCAUUAAAAUCUCAUAAUUCAUGUUUUGUGUUUAAUGCUCAUGUUUAGUCAAAAUUUUGAAUAAAUGUGAUUUAAGUUUUGCAUAAAGAUUAUUUUAGUAUGUUGUGCACCACUGAGUCCUAGUGCUCAGCGAUAGCUUCUAUUAACAUCAGAAUCUGAGAGACUAGAGGAGCAGCAGACUGAGCUGCUGACGUGUGAGGAGCUAUCAGCUUAAAGUCUUCGGGUAUAAUUUAUACCCUAACUGUAAAUAUUUCUUUUAAUGUAUAUAUUGCACAUAAAUGUAUAGACAUGUAAAAAAAUAGGUCUUGAGCAGUUUGUAUAAAAUUUGUAUAAAGUUGUAAUAUAUAUUGUAGUUUGAAAUUCUCUUAAUGUAAAUUUUGUAAUGAUCUAUUUAAAUUGUUUUGUUUCUAACGAAAUAUGAAUGGAACUAUUUUAUUUAAUUUGAAUGAAA